AAAUGCGAUAAGUAAUGUGAAUUGCAGAAUUCAGUGAAUCAUCGAAUCUUUGAACGCACCUUGCGCUCCUUGGUAUUCCUUGGAGCAUGCCUGUCCGAGCGUCAUUACGCACCCUCAAGCCCGGCUUGUGUGAUGGGCCCCGGCGUCUCGUUCGCGAGACGGGCCCGAAAGGCAGCGGCGGCGUCGACCCGAUGAGCCCGAGCGUAUGGGGACUUCUGUCACACGUUCGCGGUGCGGACCGGCGCCUGCUUGACUUUUCUGAUUAUCCAGGUUGACCUCGGAUCAGGUAGGGAUACCCGCUGAACUUAAGC
rnacentral:misc_RNA from 1 species